ensembl:lncRNA
CGCCAUUCGAUAGAUGAUAAAAUUGAAGCACAGAGAGGGUAAGUAACUCACACCAGGUCACACAGCUCCCAAGUGGCAGAGUUGGAACUCAACCGUGGAGGUCUGGCUUGGGACUCUGAGCUCCUGACACUACAGGCCGUUGACGGUAGUGUCCAUUCGCUGUGAGCCAGGCUUUUGACUGCGGUCCUGUUGUCGCUCCCACCAUGGGUUGCGUAGCUCACUCUGCUUCUCUGUUCUCGCUUAUCUAGUUCACCCUAGAAGUCGGUUCACCGGGCUUCGCUACCGUGAUGCAGCAGCGCUGGUUCAGGAAGCCAUAAACGCGGGGGAAGUCUGCUGUCCUGGGUAAACCCCUUUGAAGUAGACAUUCUUCUCAUCUCUGUUUUACAAAGGAAGAAACGGAGACACAGAGACAUUAAGCAACUUGCCCAAGGCCACACAGCCAGUUCCCCUCUACCCCAUUCCAUUGAUCGAUCACGUCUCCUUAGUUUCCUUUUGGCUAUGACAGUUUCUCAGACUUUCCUGUUUUUGAUGACUUUGGCCUGCAGCUUUUUUAUACCCUCUGACCCUGCUCACUGCGGUCCAGAAUGCACUGCUCCAUCUACUACAGAUCACUGCUGGGUCCACCCACCCUUUUGACUUGGAGUGGAAAAGAAACCAUCACCAAGUCAACGGCUGUAUACCAUGGACCUCAGACUGUGCUAAUCUGCUGUAACAGAGACACCACAACUGGCAGCGCAGCUGCAAUUAGAGCAUGAAGAGGGGAAGUGAGGCAGAAGACGAGACCAGAAGUGCAGAUUGGUGCCAGAUUGCAAAGGGCCCUGAAGGGCUCACAAUGGGAUUGGACCAUGGCCUGAAUACGUGAGGAGUCCCCACAGGUUGUAGUAUGUUCCAUCCACUCACUCCUUUAAAACAGAAAACUGCAAGCUUCCGAAUGAACUGUCUCACUAGCUGGAGUCCGUGCUCCGUGCCGUGACGGGCUGCCCUGUUCCCGCCUUCAGGAUGGAAACGCUCAUCCUCCUGGCUAUUAAAAUGUCACAGCUGUGUCCCAGCCACCCUUAAACUUCCCUUAUUUCCGGACUAGAACGUGCUCUUCCAACCUUCCACUCCUCUGCCUUUGCUGUCCUUUCUCUGGGCUAUCUCCUCCACUUCCCAUGUCUGGAGAAAUUCUAUUCAUUCUGCAAGACUUCCUGGGAUGUUUCCUCUCCCUCGUGAUAGGAUUAACCGCUUCCUUCUGUUUCCAGAGCAUUUUGUUCACAAUGUGAGCUUAGGACUUGAACAGAUUCUGUAUGUCACGUUGUGGCUGUCAGUGUCCUUGGCUCCCCUAUGAACUGUGUACUCUGCACAUCAGUCUGGGCCAUGUGUCCUUUAUCUUCAUGUCACCAGAGGUUUCCAUACAGCCUGACACGUAAGGAAUGUUAGUGAAUUAAAUUUGUUAUUCAGUUGAAUCAGAUUCUGGUGUUAAGAAAGGAAAAUAAACUCCAGGCUGAGAUGCACACAUUUUUUCUUUCAUAAAACAUGCAUUUGUUGUCACAAAACAGUGGGCUCAAAGAGGACUUUUUGUGCUAAUCGUUUAUCAUUCUGAAUUUGUAAAGUAAAACUGUCAA